UCCCUGGUGGUCCAGUGGUUACAACUCUGUACUUCCAAUGCAGCGGGUGCAGAUUCAAUCCCUGGUCGGGGAA
rnacentral:tRNA from 1 species